rnacentral:siRNA from 1 species
GAUUUCCGCCCAUGCUUUAGCUGA